UGGGGAAUAUUGCACAAUGGGCGCAAGCCUGAUGCAGCCAUGCCGCGUGUAUGAAGAAGGCCUUCGGGUUGUAAAGUACUUUCAGCGGGGAGGAAGGUGUUGAGGUUAAUAACCUCAGCAAUUGACGUUACCCGCAGAAGAAGCACCGGCUAACUCCGUGCCAGCAGCCGCGGUAAUACGGAGGGUGCGAGCGUUAAUCGGAAUUACUGGGCGUAAAGCGCACGCAGGCGGUCUGUCAAGUCGGAUGUGAAAUCCCCGGGCUCAACCUGGGAACUGCAUUCGAAACUGGCAGGCUAGAGUCUUGUAGAGGGGGGUAGAAUUCCAGGUGUAGCGGUGAAAUGCGUAGAGAUCUGGAGGAAUACCGGUGGCGAAGGCGGCCCCCUGGACAAAGACUGACGCUCAGGUGCGAAAGCGUGGGGAGCAAACA
rnacentral:rRNA from 1 species